rnacentral:sRNA from 1 species
GCUGGGCAUGGUGUUACAUGCCUGUAAUCCCAGUAACCCAGGAGGCUGAGGCAGGAGGAUCACAAGUUGAGGUCAGUCUGGGCAAUUUAGUGAGACCCUGUCUCAA